rnacentral:lncRNA from 1 species
CUGGUUGUAACCAACAUCCAAAUGGAUCGCAUACAACUUAACCGCAAUGAACAAAUAAAUAAAUGAUGCUUUAUGAAUAACUUUUUCAUUCAUUAAUUGCAUUUGUAUUCAUUUUGGCCAACCAAGAAUAUAUAUAUUAAAUUAUUACAUAAACUAUCUACAAAAAUCGAGAUUAUAUAUUAUAAAAAAAAUGAAAAGUUAUGUAUUUUUGGUAAUUUUUUUCUUUUUUUAAGACAUAAAUAC